GAUGAAGAACGUAGCGAAAUGCGAUACGUAAUGUGAAUUGCAGAAUUCAGUGAAUCAUCGAAUCUUUGAACGCAUAUUGCGCUCUUUGGUAUUCCGAAGAGCAUGCUUGUUUGAGUAUCAGUAAACACCUCAACCUCUUCUUGAUUUUUCAAAAGGAGAGUGGACUUGAGCUAUCCCAACAACCUUUACCGGUCGGCGGGCGGCUUGAAAUGCAGGUGCAGCUGGACUUUUAUCUGAGCUAAAAGCAUAUCUAUUUAGUCCUCGUCAAACAGGAUUAUUACUUUUGCUGCAGCUAACAUAAAGGAUAAUUGUCCUCUUUGCUGACUGAUGCAGGAUUUUACGACACUUUAUGUGUUGUUCAACUCGAUCUCAAAUCAAGUAAGCCUACCCGCUGAACUUAAGCAUAUCAAUAAGCGGAGGA
rnacentral:misc_RNA from 1 species